GCUUCCUUAGCUCAGUCGGUAGAGCGCGAGUCUCAUAGAAACUGAGGGACAAGAGUCUCAUAAUCUCGAGGUCGCAAGUUCGAGCCUUGCAGGGAGCA
rnacentral:tRNA from 1 species